CAUAGCAUAUAAAGUUGUAAUAAUUAUAAGAGCCACGAUAAUGAUGGCUAGGUUAGUUUAACGAAUUACUCAGCAGGGACUGAUCUGUAAAAUGCAAAGAACAUCAUCUUGUAUAAUCUGAUAUGUAUCUUUUUCAGAAACUGAAGCUUGUGGUCUAAAUUGAUAGCAAAAAAUUCUAUCCAGCAAAAAAAAUGAAUCCAUCUAAUGUGGAAGUUCAGAAACACAAUUCCAAAAUAUAUUGACUCUGGAGAAAUUCAAUCAUCAGAAAAUGAAGAAGAAUCAAGAACACUUACAGCACAAAAUCUCAUCAGCAAGAUUCGAGAGUCUUGAGUUCAAAGAGUCAAAGGAAGAAAGAUACAAAAGAGUGACAACAGCAGUUGUGAGAAAAUAAUGAAUUUUGUAAUGAAUAAAGUACUUCAAUGUGUAGUUAGUGUAGCUUAAAUUUUAUUGAUUCCUAGACAAUUCUGUCAGUUCCAACAAUUGUUCAAAAUAUUUGGAGAGAAGAGUAUAAUUAGCAUUGGGAAUCUGAAUUAUGAUAGUUGAAUGUAAAGUAAUGUCUCCACAUCUCCAUCUCUUUAGUUUAACUAAGGAUUUUUUAAAUAAACAGAAAAAAUAA